rnacentral:rRNA from 1 species
CUACGGGUGGCACCAGCUGAGGAAAUUUUACAAUGCUCGCAAGAGUGAUAAAAUAAACCAGAGUGUUUUUCUAUGAAAAACUUUUGUCUGAUGUAAAAAGUCAGACGAAUAAGGACUGGGCAAGACCGGUGCCAGCCGCCGCGGUAAUACCGGCGGUCCGAGUCGCAUCCACAUUUAUUGGGUCUAAAACAUUCGUAGCUUGUUUUGUAAGUUUCUUGUGAAAUCUCAUGUCUCAAGCAUGAGGCGUGCAAGAAAUACUGCAUUACUAGAGACCGGAAGACGUAAGGAGUAUGAUUAAGGUAGUGGUAAAAUACGUUAAUCUUAAUCAGACUAACAAUGGCGAAGGCACCUUACGAGUACGGAUCUGACAGUGAGGGAUGAAGGCUAGGGGCGCGAAAGGGAUUAGAUACCCCCGUAGUC